GCGUCUUUGUUUUUGUAAUGAUGGGGGAACAAAAACCUGCUUGAACCAGGAAAUGCAUCCGGGGGUUCUACAUGGAGUGACAUGUCUGAAGGAGACGUGAUACGAUGGAGAAUCUCACCACACUGUUACCUCUACGUAUAACUUGCGAGCUUCUAAGGUCACUCAAGUUGAAUUGUCACAUAUUAUGUGACGUAGUCAUAAAUUGAAUGGCUACUUAUAGCUAGGAGCCACAUGAUGCAUGAACCAUGAACUGUGCCUGCUGUCUACUACGGUUCCAGAGUGUAUGGUUCCUGGCCCCCUCUGUCAGAGCAGCUGUCCAACAUGCCACCCUGUGUCAGACAGCCACAGAAUUUUCCCUAAUUACACUACACAACACCUGUGGCCAGGCACUGAGGCGUUUCCAUGACAGCCCUGGAUGUUAUAAGAGCCAGCUCGUACCCACAGACCUAAGAGGACGAGGAUAGAAUAAAUUACAAGUCACUGAUAACUCAUGAUGACCUGUUUGAGAGGGUGGCCAGGAAGGCCAAGACCAAAGCCACCUUCAACGGAGCGGUGGAUGUCUUCAGUAAGAGGGGAAUAUGGCGUCGAGGUCACGUAGAGUUCAUUUACGCAGCCUUGAAGAAGGUGCCAGAGUUCAUGUGGAACGGGACCUUACAGUUUACAACAAGCUGUUGGAUGUUUUCCCCAAGGAGGUGUUUGUGCCCAGGAACUUUAUCCAGUGCAUGUUCAACCACUACCCCUGACAGCAGGAGUGCGGGGUGCACCUGCUGGAACAGAUGGCGAACUAGUGGUGGCAAAGUUAACGUAGGGGCGUGCUAGUGGGCGUGGCCAAUUGUGUGGUCUCUGACCAGAUAUUUUAAUGACCCUCUUCUUGGCCACAGGCACAGUUUUGCUAUUUUAAAGCUAAUUUCCUGCAAUACUACACAUUUUGCCAUAGCUUAUGCUAUCGGAGUGACUCAAAUGUAACAAAAUCAAUGGGGGCCCAUGCCAUGACACUUGGAAUUUUAGAUUCUCUCUGACUCUAGUUUUUAGUGGUGAUUGUUAGUUGUCAAAUAUUAUCUUAUUUAAAAAAUAUAUAGGUCUGUUAUCUUUUCUACAUACUUUACAUCCAGUUCUGUCGUUUAUAUUUAUACUGACAACAUUUUACCAAACCCCACAUUUGUAUUGUUUGUUUUUUGAAAUUAUUUUUCGUGGCGGCAACAAUUUAGCAGCGGUUGCCCGCCCCUGCUGAAUAUAGGGGUAACACUGGUGUGUGUGAGAGAGAGAGAGAGAGAUUUGGCCCACUGUUUUCAGAACAGUGGCUCUCAAACCAUUAAAAUAUGAAGCGAGAUAUUUCAUUGUCAGACCCUUGUUUUGUCAUUCAUUCAUGUUCUGUAUAAUCAGGUAUCAUGUUCUGUAUAAUCACGUAUCAUGUUCUGUAUAAUCAGGUAUCAUGUUCUGUAUAAUCAGGUAUCAUGUUCUGUAUAAUCAGGUAUCAUGUUCUGUAUAAUCAGGUAUCAAGUUCUGUAUAAUCAGGUAUCAUGUUCUGUAUAAUCAGGUAUCAUGUUCUGUAUAAUCAGGUAUCAUGUUCUGUAUAAUCAGGUAUCAUGUUCUGUAUAAUCAGGUAUCAUGUUCUGUAUAAUCAGGUAUCAUGUUCUGUAUAAUCAGGUAUCAUGUUCUGUAUAAUCAGGUAUCAAGUUCUGUAUAAUCAGGUAUCAUGUUCUGUAUAAUCCGGUAUCAUGUUCUGUAUAAUCCGGUAUCAUGUUCUGUAUAAUCAGGUAUCAUGUCAAAUGUCCAGACUUAAGGUCCAGAUCUUCAGGGACAAGAUUCACCCUAUGAGGAAGUACCAGCGCAUCUUCUGAUGGUUCCCCAAGUUCAAGCACGCCAACCCCUUCCCCGUCCCCCUGCAGCUCCCUGCAGCUCCCCAUUGGCUAGGUGCAACUCCAGAUGAUGCACUGCAAACAUAUGGUUCUCAAUGUUGUUACCAGUCAAAAGCUUGGACACACCUACUCAUUCCAGGGUUUUCUUUAUUUUUCAUAUUUUCUACAUUUUAGAAUAAUAGUGAA